CCUACGGGUGGCAGCAGUGGGGAAUAUUGGACAAUGGGCGAAAGCCUGAUCCAGCCAUGCCGCGUGUGUGAAGAAGGCCUUCGGGUUGUAAAGCACUUUCAGUGGGGAAGAAAGCCUUGGGGCUAAUACCCUCGAGGAAGGACAUCACCCACAGAAGAAGCACCGGCUAACUCCGUGCCAGCAGCCGCGGUAAUACGGAGGGUGCGAGCGUUAAUCGGAAUUACUGGGCGUAAAGCGCGCGUAGGCGGUCUGAUAAGCCGGUUGUGAAAGCCCCGGGCUCAACCUGGGAACGGCAUCCGGAACUGUCAGGCUAGAGUGCAGGAGAGGAAGGUAGAAGUCCCGGUGUAGCGGUGAAAUGCGUAGAGAUCGGGAGGAAUACCAGUGGCGAAGGCGGCCUUCUGGACUGACACUGACACUGAGGUGCGAAAGCGUGGGUAGCAAACAGGAUUAGAUACCCCGGUAGUC
rnacentral:rRNA from 1 species